rnacentral:lncRNA from 10 species
UGAGGGCUGCUAGCACGCUGUCACCUCUCACCAGCACAUCAAGGGAAAUGUGGUCUUCAGGAGAAGACAGAGGAGUGGAGAGUCAUAUGGUGUCCCUAAUCACAGAAAUAUCUCUGAUGUAUAAAAAAGUCUCAUAGCUGACAUUCAAAAAUUAUUGAUGGACACAUGGCAAAGCGGGAAAGGAUGCUACUUGAAUAAAAAUACAAGAAAAAUAACUUCUA